AUGUAUUUUGAGUGUUUGAUGUUUGCAAGUAUUUUGUACUCUGUUAGCAACUGGUUUGGAAUUUCUUCAGUAUUUCCAAAGGAAAGUUUGGCGCAUCUAGAGCUAAUUGAAGGCUUAUUCGGAAGCGGAAGAGCUUUCUCUAAAAGUGUAACUGUGGUGUGGUUUGCUUGCAUUUGGAGCAUAUGGAAAGCAAUAAAUGAUAAAUUAUUCAACAACACUUCCGAUAUGAGUGGAUCAAAUGGCUUAAGAUGUAAAAGGUUGUCAUGGAAUUGGCUGAAUAUCACAUCAAAUCAAACCGUGUAG